GAUGAACGCUGGCGGCGUGCCUAACACAUGCAAGUCGAACGGAAAGGCCUGCUUUCCCUUGUGGAUUGCGGGUACUCGAGUGGCGAACGGGUGAGUAACACGUGAGUGAUUUGCCCUCAACUUGGUUAUAAGCCCGGGAAACUGGAUCUAAUUCUCGAUAGGACUGCAGGGUGGUGCCUGUGGUGGCAAAUGUUUUUUUAGUGAUUGGGGAUGAGCCCGCGGCUUAUCAGCUUGUUGGUGGGGGAAUGGCCCACCAAGGCGAAGACGGGUAGCCGGACUGGGCGGGUGAGGGUGGACAGCGGAAUUGAGACAGGGUCACGACCCAGACGGGUGCGAGAAGCAGCAGUGGGGAAUAAUGGGGCAUAAGCGGAAGCCAGAAGCGGCGAGGGAGCGAGGAGGAUGACGGCAUUCGAAAUGUAAGCUCCUUGGGACGACGAGGAGGCCACCUAGCUAGAAGGGUGGUGACGGUAGUGGAAGAAGAAGCACCGGCUAACUACGUG
rnacentral:rRNA from 1 species